rnacentral:rRNA from 1 species
UGGGGAAUAUUGCGCAAUGGGGGAAACCCUGACGCAGCAAUGCCGCGUGCGGGAUGACGGCCCUCGGGUUGUAAACCGCUUUCAGCAGGGAAGAUAAUGACGGUACCUGCACAAGAAGCCCCGGCUAACUACGUGCCAGCAGCCGCGGUAACACGUAGGGGGCGAGCGUUAUCCGGAUUCAUUGGGCGUAAAGCGCGCGCAGGCGGGCGCCUAAGCGGGACCUCUAAUCCUGGGGCUCAACCUCAGGCCGGGUCCCGAACUGGGCGCCUCGGGUGCGGUAGGGGCAGGCGGAAUUCCCGGUGU